AUACGGAGGGUGCGAGCGUUAAUCGGAAUUACUGGGCGUAAAGCGUACGUAGGCGGUUUGCUAAGUCAGAUGUGAAAGCCCCGGGCUUAACCUAGGAACUGCAUUUGAUACUGGCAGACUAGAGUAUGAUAGAGGGGGGUAGAAUUCCUGGUGUAGCGGUGAAAUGCGUAGAUAUCAGGAGGAAUACCAGUGGCGAAGGCGGCCCCCUGGAUCAAUACUGACGCUGAGGUACGAAAGCGUGGGGAGCGAACAGGAUUAGAAACCCCAGUAGUCC
rnacentral:rRNA from 1 species